GGAGACAUGGGGCCAUAGUGGUAGAGCAUCUGCCUUGCAAGAAGAAGGUUCCAGGUUCAAUCCCUGGCAUCUCCA